GCUAGGGGGCCAUCCCGGCUUACCAACCCGAUGCAAACUGCGAAUACCGGAGAAUGUUAUCACGGGAGACACACGGCGGGUGCUAACGUCCGUCGUGAAGAGGGAAACAACCCAGACCGCCAGCUAAGGUCCCAAAGUCAUGGUUAAGUGGGAAACGAUGUGGGAAGGCCCAGACAGCCAGGAUGUUGGCUUAGAAGCAGCCAUCAUUUAAAGAAAGCGUAAUAGCUCACUGGUCGAGUCGGCCUGCGCGGAAGAUGUAACGGGGCUAAACCAUGCACCGAAGCUGCGGCAGCGACGCUGAUGCGUUGUUGGGUAGGGGAGCGUUCUGUAAGCCUGUGAAGGUGUGUCGUGAGGCAUGCUGGAGGUAUCAGAAGUGCGAAUGCUGACAUAAGUAACGAUAAAGCGGGUGAAAAGCCCGCUCGCCGGAAGACCAAGGGUUCCUGUCCAACGUUAAUCGGGGCAGGGUGAGUCGACCCCUAAGGCGAGGCCGAAAGGCGUAGUCGAUGGGAAACGGGUUAAUAUUCCCGUACUUGGUGUUACUGCGAAGGGGGGACGGAGAAGGCUAUGUUGGCCGGGCGACGGUUGUCCCGGUUUAAGCGUGUAGGUGUGU
rnacentral:rRNA from 1 species